GGCCGAGUGGUCUAAGGCGUCAGGUUAAGGCCCUGAUCUCUUCGGAGGCGUGGGUUCGAAUCCCGUA
rnacentral:tRNA from 1 species